rnacentral:lncRNA from 1 species
CCCAAAAUAAUGCUACUCACUUUGGCAUUAGGAGGUAUGCCCGAGUAAGAGAGGAGACUAGAAUUGGGAUUGACAGUCACCCCAUUCACCCAAGGAUCAAACCAAAAGUUAAAGGAUUGCCCAUUACCAACCAGGUAGUGCAGAUGUUAAAGGCCUAAGGAUCUGAGCUUUAGUACUUGUCUCCAAAUCCAAGAGCAGUCUUGUGGUAUAGGGAUCUGCCAAAAUGAUCGAUUUUUGAGUAAUGUUUUUUGAAUCCAAGUGGCCCAUAAG